rnacentral:hammerhead_ribozyme from 1 species
AUUCACCUAACGAGUCCCAAGUGGGACGAAACUCGUGUCCUGAAU